rnacentral:lncRNA from 1 species
CUUUCACCCCCCCCCCCCGGCCAUUACCGAAGCGGAUGAAAACAAACACUAACGAUGGCGGCGCCGGGAAGCGACCGGCUGCUGGGCUUAAGGCGGGAGUGACCGCUUAACCAGUGAGGGAAGCACUGAAGAGCGCCAGUCGACGUGGGUGCGACAACUCGCGGAGUCUUAGGAGCAAAACGUCUGGGGCCUGCGAGCCAGGACCCUUCUGAAGCCUUAGGUGUCUAUCGGCGACGUGUACGGUCACUGCAGCUCCGGAGCGCGGAACCCUCAGCCAGGAGGCGCGGCUGGUCGGUCCCAGGUCCCGGCCUCCGUAAUGAGAGCCCGGAACCACUCUUUGUGCCGCAGCUUCGCAGGCUGGAGUGUAGUGGUGUGAUCUUGGCUCGCUGCAACCUCUGCCUCCCAGGUUCAAGCGAUUCUCCUGCCUCAGCCUCCUGAGUAACUGGGAUUACAGGCUGGAGUGCAAUGACAUGAUCACAGCUCACUGCAGCCAUACCU